rnacentral:rRNA from 1 species
CACGUAGGGUGCGAGCGUUGUCCGGAAUUAUUGGGCGUAAAGAGCUCGUAGGCGGUCUGUUGCGUCCGCUGUGAAAACUCGGGGCUUAACCCCGAGCCUGCAGUGGAUACGGGCAGACUAGAGGUAGGUAGGGGAGAAUGGAAUUCCCGGUGUAGCGGUGAAAUGCGCAGAUAUCGGGAGGAACACCGGUGGCGAAGUCGGUUCUCUGGGCCUUACCUGACGCUGAGGAGCGAAAGCGUGGGGAGCGAACAGG